rnacentral:tRNA from 1 species
GCGGCAGUAGCUCAGUUGGUAGAGCAUCCCGAUUUUCAUCGGGAGGGCCGAAUGGGCGAAUCCCUUUUGCCGCU